rnacentral:rRNA from 1 species
AGAGUUUGAUCCUGGCUCAGGACGAACGCUGGCUGCGUGCUUAACACAUGCAAGUCGAACGCUGAAGCCGACAGCUUGCUGUUGGUGGAUGAGUGGCGAACGGGUGAGUAACACGUGAGUAACCUGCCCCUGAUUUCGGGAUAAGCCUGGGAAACUGGGUCUAAUACCGGAUAUGACCUCCUGACGCAUGUUGGGUGGUGGAAAGUUUUUCGAUCGGGGAUGGGCUCGCGGCCUAUCAGCUUGUUGGUGGGGUAAUGGCCUACCAAGGCGACGACGGGUAGUCGGCCUGAGAGGGCGACCGGCCACACUGGGACUGAGACACGGCCCAGACUCCUACGGGAGGCAGCAGUGGGGAAUAUAGCACAAUGGGGGAAACCCUGAUGCUGCGACGCAGCGUGCGGGAUGACGGCCUUCGGGUUGUAAACCGCUUUCAGCAGGGAAGAAGCGAAAGUGACGGUACCUGCAGAAGAAGUACCGGCUAACUACGUGGCAGCAGCCGCGGUAAUACGUAGGGUACGAGCGUUGUCCGGAAUUAUUGGGCGUAAAGAGCUCGUAGGUGGUUGGUCACGUCUGCUGUGGAAACGCAACGCUUAACGUUGCGCGUGCAGUGGGUACGGGCUGACUAGAGUGCAGUAGGGGAGUCUGGAAUUCCUGGUGUUGCGGUGAAAUGCGCAGAUAUCAGGAGGAACACCGGUGGCGAAGGCGGGACUCUGGGCUGUAACUGACACUGAGGAGCGAAAGCAUGGGGAGCGAACAGGAUUAGAUACCCUGGUAGUCCAUGCCGUAAACGUUGGGCACUAGGUGUGGGGGACAUUCCACGUUCUCCGCGCCGUAGCUAACGCAUUAAGUGCCCGGCCUGGGGAGUACGGUCGCAAGGCUAAACUCAAAGGAAUUGACGG